rnacentral:tmRNA from 1 species
CCCCUUCACACGCCUCCGCGCACCCCCUAUAUUCAUAGCGUCCCUUCGGGGACUAUGGGCAUAAACGCGCUCGUAAUAAACGGAUCGGACCCGGGGGCGGUACCCGGCGGCUCCACCAAAUACCCGUCGUUGGGGGGACAUGGGGCCGAAACAGGAUCGACGAACGCGUAAAGGAGUGGCUUUGUCCCGGUGAGGUACCACCG